GCUCCGCGCGACUGCGCCAGUGCUGCUCCCUCUGCUCCUACAGUGAACGCGUAUUAUCGAGUGAUCGCUCCGCUGUUCCCGAUUUUGUUCUGUGUCAUCUGUGCCAUUUCUCUAGUGAUUUUUCUCCAUGUCGGCCUUGUUUGCCUUACUUGAGAUUUAGUUGUUGGAAUUACUACGCGUCCGUCCGUCCUAGUAAAUUUCGUCGUUGUGGUGAAAUUUGGUUUAUUAGGUCACCUUUGUGUUGUGCUUUGUUGUUGGUAUUUUUACCCGAAGUAGUCCGAAUUCGCUUUCAAUCGGAAUACUUAAGUACCUCUGAAUAGUUUUAUUUUGAAGUGAUAUUAUUAUUUUCGUCAGUUCCUGACCCAACUAUCACCUCUGUCGUAACCGUGACACUUUCUCUCCAUCAAUCACUUCCUGCUCCCUAAAGAUUUUCUUGGCGGAGCUCCGAGUCAAAGAACCCAAA